rnacentral:rRNA from 1 species
GACCUCAGUUCAGGUGAGAUUACCGGCUGAAUUUAAGCAUAUUACUAAGCCGAGGAAAAGAAACUAACAAGGAUUCCCCUAGUAGCAGCGAGCGAACAGGGAAGAGCCCAGCGCUGAAUCCCCCGGGCCUCGCUCGGCGGGAAAUGUAGCGUUUGGGAGGGCCCGUCAACACGGCGACUCGCUCACUGGUUCAAGUCCAACUUGAAUGGGGCCACACAGAGGGUGACAGGCCCGUAGAGCAGGAGCGGUUGUCGUGUGGGUCUCUCCUUAGAGUCGGUUUGCUUGAGAGUGCAGACUUAAGUGGGUGGUAAACUCCAUCUAAGGCUAAAUAUGACCACGAGACCGAUAGCACACAAGUACCGUGAGGGAAAGGUGAAAAGAACUUUGAAGAGAGAGUUCAAGAGUACGUGAAACUGAAGUGGUGUAAACGGACGAGUUCGAAAAGUCCGAAUGGUGAGAUUCAAGCUUACCGUGCCGGUGGCCCUCGGGUUCAGAUGGCGUCGUCAGCUCGGGCUUCGGUUCGGGUCAUACGGCGUCACUCGUCCUGGGGGUAUCUGUCUGGUGCGGUGGGCUGCACUUCUCGCCUAGUAGGACGUCGCGACCCGUUGGGAUGUUCCGUUCACUGGCCCUCGGUGGAGCCCGCGCCGGAGCGUGGCCUUGUGCCGCGUUGCUGUUUGCACGGACCCGGGGUGACCUGAUCGGCGCCCGACGGUAUCAAAGCUUGGGAAGAGGCCGCACAGAGGAUGCGUUCGAUGGCCGUUUCGGCCUACACUCGGACAGGCCUGCACCCGGUCAGCGGCGCUUCUG